AACGUAGGAGACAAACGUUAUCCGGAGUUACUGGGCGUAAAGGGCGUGUAGGCGGUUUGUUAAGUCUGGCGUGAAAGCUCUCGGCUAAACCGGGAGAGGUCGUUGGAUACUGGCAAACUAGAGGAUGGUAGAGGAGAGUGGAAUUCCCGGUGUAGUGGUGAUAUGCGUAGAUAUCGGGAGGAACACCAGUGGCGAAGGCGGCUCUCUGGGCCCUACCUGACGCUGAGACGCGAAAGCGUGGGGAGCGAACCGG
rnacentral:rRNA from 1 species